UACGGUUAAUUGAAAUAGUACAAGUAGUGGGUAUAAUUUAUGCCAUAUGCUUAAAUUCCUAUUUAGAUAAUUUGUUUGACAUCUUUUUUGACGGGACUAUAUUAACGUUACGCGGAAGAAUACUUCGUGCGAAGUCCUGUUGUAGAGAACUUAUAUGCGUGAACAGUAGCUUACCGUGGCAAAGUGCAACUGAUGCUUCAUCCGUUAACAGUGUGAAGAGGUAAGUUGCUGUUAGUAAUAUGUUGGUGCUGUCUGUGGUGGAGGUGAUUCCCUGAUGAGCUUAAAAGUUUCUAACAACGAUGAAAGGUAAUGAUAUACAGUGUGAGUACAAAGUUUUGCCUUGUUUAUAAAAAAUUAUAACCGUUUGACAUAAUAAAUUAAUAAGUUACAUUUGAUGCCCUUAGAUCGGCUAGUGUUACUAGUUGUUUUGAUCAAUACAUGGAGCUAGUGCUCAAUCACCGAUGCGGUCAGUUAGGUCACGUUAGUUGCUGGUGAAAUGGCGUCGAAGCAGAAGAAAGCGCAAUGUGUGCUUUGGUUUCACGAAACUUAAUCGCCCAUCAGUAGUCAACAUAAAUUUCGGGCUUAUUAAGGGCGCAGCCCUCCUGACGUUAAAUCGAUAAACCGAAGGUGUGCAACGUUUAACGAAAGAGACAGCGUCGAAGAUCACCUUCGAAGUGGCAUGCCUCGUGUGAGUGAUACAACAGUUCGUAGUGUUCGGCAAUAGUUUCAACGGAGUCCCUCUAAAUUAACUUGUCUAGCAGGAUCACGUGAACUUCAAAGAUUCAUCAAAGGUGUAGGUUGCAUGCUUACAAAGUGCAAAUCGUGUAAGCCUUGCAACCGAAUGAUUUUCUGAUAUGUUGCUAAUUUGCAACUGAAAUCCUCAACAGAUUGAUGGCCCUAACGUUUAUUUAAAUAUGCUUUACCGGUGAAUCAACCUUUCAUGUUAGUGGGAUGGUAAAUAGGCAUAAUGUCCGUAUAUAAGGUUCGGAGUCUCAACAUUCUACUGUAGUUACAGCUUAAAAGUGAACGCUGCCUCAUGCAUAACAAGGUUUUUGGACCGUUUUUCUUCGGGGAAAUAUCAAUUACCGCUAACAGUUACUUCGAUGUUUUGCAAUAGUUCAUUCCCACACAGAAGAAUAUCAACCAUGGAUAAUUUUCCAGCAAGAUGGAAUACUCCUAUAUCGCCCAGUGGGCUUUGAUGGCGCGUGAUUUCUUGGAUGAAAAGUUACGUGAUCGGUGAAUUGGAAGGCACUAAUAACCGCAUCAAAUGUAAAUCAUAUCAAACGGGUUUUCUGUAAUUGUUUAAUCAGGGCAACACUUUGUGCUCAAUUUUUUUACAUUCCGUGGACGAUUCGUGCGAAUGAUUGGUCGAGUUGGACCACGCGACAGGAACCCACAUCGAACAUCUCAAUGGAGAGAUCAGUACGUGAAUAAAAUUGUCCCAGCAACCCUUUAGCAGUUAUGGCCGGCUGUAGACAGCAUGGCUCGAUAUUUUUGCCAACGACUGGAUAAGUUAUUCACAAUGCUGUCAAUCCCGAAGACACACAGACGUGAGCAGCAGGAUUUUCGGUUGUACUGGAUUAUCGACCUAAUUUUUCAGACACGCCUAGAAAUUUGCUGUUUAGUUUACCAACAGCAACUAGUGCAUUGAAACUGUCAUGAGCCAGAGCAUAUUUUCGUAUCCUUUCAACUACUGAUGUUAUAUUGCGGCAAUUGGCCAAUAUGGCGUCAAAUCCGGUAAGCUUGUAUCGGCCUGCUCCAAAAGUAGUUGCAAGGAAAUUUAAGCAUCCUACUGUCUUAAACUGGAAAACUUGUUCAUGCCCUUAACAGACAAUGGGACUCUGUAGUGUGGCCCCGUGGAUGUUGUGAAAUGUACUGAAUCCUCAUUGUGUGGUAGAAUGUUGGGGAAAUAGUAUGUUUGCGGAAAUUAUCAUGAUUUUCUCUAUGGAACCGAUUUUGUGUGAGCGAAUGCCUGAAUGAACUAGAUCAUUGUGGAUAUCGGGCACUAAUUGCCCCAUUAACAUAUGCAGACAUACAACCGAUUUGCUAAACUAUUUUAUUUAGUUGGGUGUAGGCUGCUGAGUCAUGUCGCCACUGCCAAGGUUUAGUGACGAUGGCGGCAUCAGUUGUAUUGUAGCCGUCAAUACAGCUUGUUUUGUAGCUGGAAGCUAGUUUCUAGUUUUAAAAAAUUGCUGUAGAAAAGAAGUUUGGUUUUCUUAAACAAACCAAACUAACAAUGAGGAAGUAAAAGUUAAAAGUUCUCGAAGGUGGCUGUGAUCUGGCAUUUCGAUUUGUUGCAAGGCUGUGCAAGAAAACUGGAAGCAGAGACAGUGUAAAAGGAUUGGGUUUGUUUCGGGAUUUGUGACAGUUCUUACUCAGUAAAAUAAUUACAUGUAAUAAUGUAGAACUUUAUUAAAUAAAGACUUCCACAAAGUGAUAGCAAGUAAAGGUUUUGUGAAUAUUAGCUAAGUGCCUUAUCCUUACCCUACUUUAAGUAAAAUUACUCAGAAGAAAAUGACUGUGAUAUGUAGAGAAUUUAAUGUUGUUAUUAAUCUAGAUUCCAGCGCUCCUGAUUCACGGUGAAACAACUUCGUUGAUAGUAAAAGAAAAAUAGCUUUGAGUUGUGUUUGUCAACAUUGGAAGUCUGCAGUUAAAAACUGAAGAACAAUGAGAUGAUACCAGUGUUUCAUAUUUUCAACGUUGCCAGGUAUUCUGCACAUAGAUUUAGUUUUCUUGUCCUUGCAGACAAGUGGCAGCCACUGAACAUUGACAUGACUGUUGUAAAAGUUCUUAAACAUAAAUACUUUAAAUGUAGGCCCAACUUUUACAAGAUUUCUUGGAACUAUGAGCAUUUUAAUGGAAACACCAUUGAAUGCUUGGUAUACAGAUGAUAAACAUUGACAUUUCAGGAUGUGUUAAAAUAGCUUGCAGAUUAAGCAGUCAAGUUCAUCAUGAUAGCUGCAGUUAUGGAAAUGGAAUUUCAGAUUUGUUUUGGAAAACGCCAUAUUUGUGGUGUGGUUGCACCUAAUCAGAUUUCCAAUAAAUUGAAUUCCUGCACUAAGAUUAGUCACGAACACGACAGGUUUGUUGUACAGCUGUCCAUGAAGUGUCCAAUGUCAUUGGCUAGUGCAUCAUAUAUUGUGAAUCAUUAUAUGAAGCAUGUUGUUGAAGAGGAAUUCUAUGGCAGUGGUGCUCCAGAUGUGCGUUUUAUACCCAAGGCUAAUGAAAUAAUUUGCCAGAGUAUGUCUCAAGUUGACUUUGUAGAAUGAUUUUUACUUCAUUAAAAUUUUGGUCUGUUGAGAGUGGAGUACAGUUUUACUAACAGCAGACAGAGUAAGGUCAUUUCCAAAAUUUAACACCGAUCUGGGAAGUCCAACAUAGCAUUUCUUGUAAGUACUGCUUUUAUCAGUUGAUUCUUUAUAUAUUUCUUUAGGGUUCUGCAGUGAACAAGAGUGCCUGGAGGUGUGUGGUUGCUAAUGGUGACUGAAGGCCCGUUAAGUUAUUGUUAACUCUUGUUUCCUUUAUUUUGAGAAAAACUUCCCAGACAAAUGUUGUUGCUGUAAACUCGCAAUGAAGCUAGUGAUAGCGUAAGCUGACACUAUAUGUAGUGAUAUAUUGCUGUAAUAGGUUCAUCAUAAGAAUAAACCUGAUGUAAUCAAGCACGAUCAUUGGUCGGAAGUGGUGGCACGUGUACAUCGUGUUACUCUUUGAAGUAGGUCCUACUUAUGUGUCAGGUAUUUUAUUACUAGGUUAUGUUAAAUGAAACUUUAAGAUAUCAAAUGUAUUAACAGCCAUUAACGUUUUUCUUAAUCACACUGUAGCUAUGUAGUUUUUACUUAAAAAAUUGUGUAAUAACAGCCUCUGCAGUGUUGUGCUCUGAUUAUUGCGCUGUUAAUGCGCAAUAUGAAAAUGGCAGAGGCUGCUUUCUGUUGUGUAGUGGAACACAGUUCAAAAGUGCCAAGAAAUAGGCUCAUAAAUUUACUGAGGUAAUUGGCUUUGAAGUAUCUCCAGCGAAGUAUACACUGCAGUUAAUAAACUAAAACCACACUGUACAUGUAGCACAGUCAGUCACAUAAUGGUAUGUGAACCAAAUGUGGUUAUUCAUGCAUUGGUUCAGAUAUCCCCAGAAUCAUUCUAUUUUUCCUCUCAUUCAAUCUGAAAUAAUUAUAUCUUGUUAUUUAUUAUGAAUAAUGCAUGUCUCCUUGUUUCUAAUUACAUAUGGGAUGUAAAAUUCCUGUUUCCAUUUCAAAUACAAAUUCUUAAUUAUCAAUCUUUCAUGAAAGACUGUCCAUAAAAGUUGUUUAAUUAAACUACUUCAUUUUUUAAAGAAAAAAUGAAAAACCAAAUCCUCUUUAUUUGGACUAUGUCCAUUGUUUACUACCAUAGAGGUAGUAGAUAUGUAUUGUGGAAACAUGAAAGACAAUCGUUUUCACAGCAUUGUGCACAUGAUCCAAAUGAUGCAUUUUUACAUUUGCUACUGUGUCAUUACAGUAUGAAGUCAACAGAAGUGAUCUGCAGCCUAGCUGUGGGAUUUGGCCCACGAAGUAACAAGACUAUUAUCAUGCUAGACAUACUGGAACUAAUGCACACAGCUUUUUCACGCUGACAGGAUAUAGAAUGGCUUCUCGUAAAAGAAGAGAGAAUGCUUCACAUGGUUGGCUUUGUGGAUUCUGUUGUUGAUAGGCUCAUUAUCAACGUAGCAAGUGACAUUUCCAGAAUUGAAAUGUUUUCGGAUAAGGAAGGAGCUAAGAGAUCACCAGAUGACUGACUAACUGAGCAAGAUAUGAAAUGGUAAAUUACACAACAGAGAACUUGUGAAUCUUGUACCCAGCAUAUUUUUACUGAAAAGUUUUAAGAACAAUGCGGCUAGCAAACAGAAGACUUGAUCUUCUGCAGAAAGACAUGUAUGAUAUACUUGUAAAAAAAAACAGUAAUAAUGUUGACUGAACAAGCAAGAAAUCCAGUUUUAUGCAACAAUUGCUGCUACAGCUGAUCCACAAAAGGUAGGUACCUAACACACUUCCGAGGUAAUCCCAUUUACAAAAACAUUUGUAUUUUAGUCGGGGAAUUGUAAGACUGCAAAUCAUUCGACUGCAUACAAAAUUGAAAAGCUGAGGAAAACUUCUAAGUUAACAUAGACGUGCAUGACAAUUCUCAUACUCACACUUUCAGUGGCAUAUGCUGCUGUUGUUAACUUAUUCUAAAGUAUAGCAUCAUGAAUAAAUUUGGUUUGUAACUGAAUUGCCAAGAUUUGGCUAUUCUUUACAAUACAGGGGCAGUCAUGUCUCCAUAAUUAAUGUUUCUAAUGCAAAAACGUAGAUUUUAUUAUUUAAUGGGUAGAAGUAUAAUAGAAAACAAAGAUUGAUCAUAGACAUAGCUUUCACUGCUGGGGCAUUGGAAUGAAGUUGUCAAGUUGGUAAUAAUAUUCACAGCACUGUUGUGCCUGUAUGUGUCAGAUGUGGAAGUAGACAGACUUGGUAAUUCUUGCACAGCUAAACAUUUUGAUGAAACAGGGCUCCCAUAUUUGAAGAAUAAAAAGUGGUUUGCAGUUAACCAGUUCUGGGUACAUAGGGUGCAAUCCUACAGACUGUACUGACAAUGUUUCUCCAACAAAAUAAAUAAAUACAUUACCAUUGUGAUUAUUAAACUAACAAAUAGGUGGCAUCUGCAAGAAGAAUAAAACAAGUGGCAAUAUGAAUGAAUUGCAUACACGCACUAAAAAAUAUCAAUAAAAGUAAUUAAAAUUGUAUUUUGAUCUCAUAAGAACAUUAUCACAACUCUUCAGAUUUUUAGGUAAAAGAAUAAUGCAGUAGGCACCUUUAGGAGACAUUCGUUAAGUAGCAUUGUAUUCAGUAUAGGUUCAUAUUGUGUAAACUGCAUUCCAUCAAAAUGAUGCUUCAUAAUUUUAAUACAAAGAAACUUCAUGAAUUUGUCACAGUUGUAUAAUAGUCUGUAUCUAAUAAUUCAAACACGAGCUAUCGCACAAGGACAGCAGCAGAUGUUUUUAUAUUAAAAACAGGUAAGUAGAGGUAUUGUCCAUUGUUGACAUGCAUGUACAGUUAUUUGGUUUGGUGCACAAUCUCAACUCAUUGAGCUUGUAUACCCUUCAUUGUAACGACAGCCUCGAGUAUUACCUUGGACAGGGAGUGAAUAUCAUUGGCUCUUUAGUUGAAGCAACACACACACACUCUCUCUCUCUCUCUCUCUCUCUCUCUCUCUCUCUCUCUCUCUCUCUCUCUCUCUCUAUGCUGCAGUGUUACUGUAGUGCCCUGGGUCAAAGCAUCGUGGCACAUUACGAAAGUGGAGUAUAACACAGUACCACAUGUUUUGCAGCAGUGGAACUGUUACAUUUGUGUGGAGCCAAUACAGAAAACGGCUACAAAUGUUUCCACCGCUGCUGAAAACAAGUUACUUUGUAAAUCGGUCUGUAGUGGU